AGGCAUUUUUGCCGUACGAAAGUGUUAUCAAAGACGUGUCAUUACUAUAAUAUGCUUGAACAAGAUGAUUCCUGUACAAAAGAGUUGGCAUCGGAGAUUUUGGAUAUUGAGGAUCUUGUUCGACUUGGGAAGAAAGAAAGUCGCUGUCCUUAUUUCAUCUGUGAAAAAUUCCAUUUGUGAAAAAUGCUGACAUUGUAUUCAUGCCGUACAAUUAUUUAAUCGAUACAAAGUCAUGACAAUCAAACGACAUUGAUAUUUCAAAGAGUAUUAUCAUCUUCGACGAAGCACACAAUAUUGUAAGGGGAUGUUCUUUAUGUAUAAAGAAUAAAAUACCUCCUUUCAAAGAUCAUCACACAGAAAUUUUCUGUGGAUCUUUUGAGUAUGGAAGACUUAGUUGUUGCAUGAUUGUAGCAA